rnacentral:tRNA from 1 species
GUUUCCGUAGUGUAGUGGUCAUCACGUGCGCCUAACACGCGCCAGGUCCCCAGUUAAAACCUGGGCGGAAACA